rnacentral:rRNA from 1 species
GACGAACGCUGGCGGCGUGCUUAACACAUGCAAGUCGAACGCUGAAGCUCAGCUUUUGUUGGGUGGAUGAGUGGCGAACGGGUGAGUAACACGUGAGUAACCUGCCCCCUUCUUUGGGAUAACGCCCGGAAACGGGUGCUAAUACUGGAUAUUCACUGGUCUUCGCAUGGGGGUUGGUGGAAAGGGUUUUUCUGGUGGGGGAUGGGCUCGCGGCCUAUCAGCUUGUUGGUGGGGUGAUGGCCUACCAAGGCUUUGACGGGUAGCCGGCCUGAGAGGGUGACCGGUCACAUUGGGACUGAGAUACGGCCCAGACUCCUACGGGAGGCAGCAGUGGGGAAUAUUGCAAAAUGGGCGCAAGCCUGAUGCAGCGACGCCGCGUGAGGGAUGGAGGCCUUCGGGUUGUGAACCUCUUUCGCUCAUGGUCAAGCCGCAACAAUGGUUGUGGUGAGGAUAGUGGGUAAAGAAGCGCCGGCUAACUACGUG